GAAACUCGAAAGGAAGUUGACGGGGCCCGCACAAGCGGUGGAGUAUGUGGUUUAAUUCGAUGCAACGCGAAGAACCUUACCUAGGUUUGACAUCCGGAAAACUUCCCGAAAGGAAGGGUGCCCUUCGGGGAAUUCCGAGACAGGUGCUGCAUGGCUGUCGUCAGCUCGUGCCGUGAGGUGUUGGGUUAAGUCCCGCAACGAGCGCAACCCUAUUGCCAGUUGCUACCAGGUAAUGCUGGGCACUCUGGUGAGACUGCCCCGGUUAACGGGGAGGAAGGUGGGGACGACGUCAAGUCAUCAUGGCCCUUACGCCUAGGGCUACACACGUACUACAAUGGCGCAUACAAAGGGCAGCGAUACCGCGAGGUGGAGCCAAUCCCAAAAAGUGCGUCCCAGUCCGGAUUGCAGUCUGCAACUCGACUGCAUGAAGUUGGAAUCGCUAGUAAUUCGAGAUCAGCAUGCUCGGGUGAAUGCGUUCCCGGGCCUU
rnacentral:rRNA from 1 species